CCGGCGAAGAGGUCCGCGGCUAAGCCGGGCUAGCUCUUGAGAGGAGGGCCAGCCACGCUCCUCUUAGGACCCCGGCACUGGGGAAAGUGUCCUGCUCCUCGAGAGGAGGCGCCGGGUGCGGACGCGGAUCCACUCCUUUCCGAGGGCGGAGAGACCCUUGCAGCACCGGCCUGGAGUAGGGAGGGACUGAGGUGACCGAGGUGAGAAUCGGGUGAGACUCCUUCUCAAACUCAUCUCUCAUCUCGGGCCAAGACUUUGUGCCUCAGUUUCCCCUUCAGGAUUUCUGUUCUUGUUGAUGGGAGUUAUAACCUGGAAGAGCUAUGAGGAAAAUGACCGAGAACAAUCUGGUCACCUUUUUCUUGGUGCAGCCUAUCUAGACGCAGCUCGGCGGUGAAAGAGAUGGACAUGGACGGAGAGAGUGGCCGAGGGACAGGCACGCGGGGCAGCCCGGGGAAGAGCCGAGAAGGAGGGUCACAAGGGCUGGGGCGAGUGCCCAGGAGCCUGACGGGUGUCUGCUGCGACCCUUCUGGGUUGCGCUCAGCACUGUCUCCUUCGCUUCUCUGGUCCCCCACCCCCAGCCCCAGUGGCGGUGAUUUAUGGCUGGGCCAGGCCUGGCGACCUUGGACGGAUAACUAAUGACGGGUCAAUAACGCUACAGAAAAAGUGAAGUGAGAGAGGGCCAAGGCCCAUCCCUUCCACCCCCUCCUCCUUCACCCCCUCCCAUCCUCGGCUUGGUGUCCAUUACUGAAGUCUCCUUGCAAGGGUGGGAGGCUCUCCAAGGCCAAGAUCUUGACAGGUCUGUGGUUACACCAGCUGAAGUAGGAGCGGAUGUGGGACCUGCACAUACAUACAACAGAGGCUCCACGUGGGUCAUACGAAGACACUUCAUUUGCCCAGGAGUCCUGUUUGCAUGAGAACUGGAGUGGCUGGGCAUCUAAACUCCUGCCUGCAUUAUCUGGAGAAUGGACCAGUGCCUCCUUUUCUUGAACCUGCCAAUUUCUUCAGCUCUGUUUGAGAUGCCCCGGUUCCCAGUUUAUUUUGGAGCCCUGGGCGGAGGUUUAAACAAUCCAGUUGUUUGCCUUGAGUUCCUGCCUCUCGGACGGCAGUCAAGGGCAGAACCUAGGUGCCAGUGUGGGCUUUUCUACCUCCUGCCUCAUUCUGUGCGCGAAGACUUGAAGAGCCCUCACUGAGUGGGCAGCCGAGGAGAUUCUGGGACCUGCAAUCUGACCCAAUGCUUGAAACUGUAAUCUCCCUAUCCCUCCACCCCAGGGUCCUGGUUCUUCCCCUGCUAACUUCCCCUUAACUAUUGUCAGCUUUGACUCCAAAGAAGAGACAGCCACAGAGACAAGAACAUUCUGCUUCCAGAUUAAGCCCAUGUGACAGAACUGCCUUUUCAGUACAGGGCAGUGGGAGUGGCCUCGUGCCCGAGGGUGCCAGACAGUGUCUGUGACACAGGUGGACUCUAUUGAUGCAUUUACAGAUUCAGUCAGUGGACCAAGACCACGUGGAUGCCCCGUGCUGGGGGAGCAGGAGACACAGGGGAAAAUAAAGGACAGCUAUGGAACGGGAGGUGGACUCCUUCGGAGUAGCAAAGGCAGAGCCACGAGAGGCAGUGGUCCUACAUCCCCACUCAUCCCUUUCUCCACCUCCAGCCUUUCCCCUUUCCUAAGCCACAGGCACUACUUACCGUCCUCCAAAGCUCUGUGCUACCUCAUUCUGAAAACCUAAAGGGUCCCAGCUCCGGGUCUAAUAUUCAAGGUCCAUAAAAACCUAGGGUUCCUUGUUUAAAAGUUAUAGGGAGUCGAGUUGGAGACAGUGGAACUCAGACAGCAAGCUUGGGGAUGCAAAGCCCUGUGGGAAGUGAAUCCUGCUGGCCUUCCCCAUCCAUGCUCUACUCUCUUCAGUCCCCCUGAGCCUGUCCCCUGAAAGCUUCCAGCUUCCUGCUACAGAGCCUGGGAAAACCUUCCUCUUGUUGCUGACACCAACUCGCCUGGACUCCAAGCCCCGUGUCUCCCUACAUGUCCCAGUUUCUUUAUCUUUUGCUCAGAACUCAAUUCCUCUAGAAAAAUUCCCUCCUUCAGGCCGUCUCCUCCAGGAAGGCUCUUGAUUUCCCACAUAAUAAACGACGUGCUGGGUCAAAGCACAAA